GAGAGAGAGAGAGAGAGAGGAUUAGUCAUGAGACACAGCCAACAGAUGGUCAGCAGCAAACUGGCGAUGGCAUCACAAACUGAAAAACAAACCCAUACAAUUACCAAAACCUCCUAACAUACAUUUCCAUCAAAAACUUUCAUUUCAUAAAUUGUGAUGUUUGGGAUAGUUUUCCUGCAUCUCCAAUAUGCAGCAUUGAUAUCUACACUAACUGAGACGAGAUUAGCACAUGAAUAAGCCAAUUACUCCUAAUGUACACAGUUGACAAAAUACAACAAGAAGCAUAACAACAAGAAGCAUACUCCACUUCUAGCACUGACGUAUAUCUGUUAUGGAUGCUUUCAUAGGGAAGAGCUACAAGAGGCAUGAAGACCGCAACUAGAAGGAUUUCCAAUUGGCAGAAUUUUGGUUAUUUACUGUUUUAAUUAUUAUUUCCUUUCUAGUUAUA
rnacentral:misc_RNA from 1 species